GACGAACGCUGGCGGCGUGCCUAAUACAUGCAAGUCGAACGCUGAAGGCGGAACUUUUCUUUCUGGACGAGUUGCGCAAGGGUGAGUAACGCGUAGGUAACAUGCCUUGCAGCUGGGGUUAACUAUUCGAAACGACAGAUAAUACCGCAUAACAGUAGAUGUUGCAUGUCUUUUACUAAAAAGGUUCAAUUGCAUUCCAACAUGAUGGACUUGCGUUGUAUUUGCCAGUUGGUGGGUUAACGCCUCACUAAGGCGACGAUACAUAGUCGACCGGAGUGGGGGAGCGGCCACUCUGGGACUGAGACACGGCCCAGACACCCUCGGGAGGCAGCAGUAGGGAAGCUUCGGCAAUGGACGGAAGUCUGACCGAGCAACGCCGCGUGUGUGAAGAAGGUUUUCGGAUCGUAAAGCUCUGUUGUAAGGGAAGAACGAGUGUGAGAAUGGAAAGUUCACGCUGUGACGGUAUCUUACCAGAAAGGGACGGCUAACUACGUG
rnacentral:rRNA from 1 species